rnacentral:lncRNA from 1 species
UCAGCACCCUCUGGAUGUGUUUCUAGGUCUGUCAGCACCCUCCUGAUGUGUUUCUAGGUCUGUCAACACCCUCCUGAUGUGUUUCUAGGUCUGUCAACACCCUCCUGAUGUGUUUCUAGGUCUGUCAACACCCUCCUGAUGUGUUUCUAGGUCUGCCAGCACCCUCCUGAUGUGUUUCUAGGUCUGUCAACACCCUCCUGAUGUGUUUCUAGGUCUGUCAGCACCCUCUUGAUGUGUGUCUAGGUCUGUCAGCACCCUCCUGAUAUGUGUCCAGGUCUGUCAACACCCUCCUGAUUUGUUUCUAGGUCUGUCAGCACCCUCCUGAUGUGUUUCUAUGUCUGUCAACACCCUCCUGAUGUGUUUCUAGGUCUGUCAGCACCCUCUUGAUAUGUGUCUAGGUCUGUCAGCACCCUCUGGAUGUGUUUCUAGGUCUGCCAGCACCCUCCUGAUGUGUUUCUAGGUCUGUCAACACCCUCCUGAUUUGUUUCCGGGUUUCUCAUUAUCCUGGCUGAAAUAUGGUACUGAACCAAGCUCACUCAUGUCUCACUCAUUUGGGAAAUACUGACAACAAAUUGUAACAUGAUUGUGAUUGCCCACACUGGCUGGCCUCCACGAAUUGUGCCCAAUAUGGCAUAGACCAGUGUAAACAGUGGUUCUUACAGUGGUGUGGUGUGCAUGUAUCACUGUUAUCACAUCCAUUUAUGUUCAGAUAGGGAUGAUAGUGGAAAAAUGUGUACAGUGUUGGUUAAAUAUAGUCAUAUCUUGUCACUGACAAUAGAUUUUAUAUACCGGUAGGAGCGACUCAAAUGCCCCCAACAAUAGUCUAUUGAGAUCUAGGUGCUAUGUGUUAUUUUUUGUAAAGGACUUAUAUAAUGGACACAUGUUAUUUUAGCUUUUCUGGUAGAAGUAUAUAGUGCUAUAUUGCCAUCAUUUCAGUGUAUGCAAAUAUCAUUAUCCAUCCAUUGUAUAUAUGUCAUAAACCUCAUGUGUAAUUCCUACCAAGUUUUCAUCUUUGAAAUACCAUCAAACUUUGAGAUUGUAGACACAAGGCUUUGAGGGACAUGUUGGGAAAUAUCCUUUGAUAUCUGUUAUGACACACAGAUAGUUUUGAUGACUGGAGUGUUGGUUGCAGACAUUAUUAUGCCAACUACAUGAUGUGGAUCGGUUAAUAAUGAUGUUGGUUGCAUGGAACACUCUUUCGUUUCCUUCUGUCACAAAUCCCACAGUAGUUUACAAGUUUGGACACUAACUAAGGAGCUGCGUUAAAGGCAUGACCAGUGUCUCUUUUGUGAAGGUGCGUUCUCAUGGUGAGACUUGUAGUAACAACUUGUAGCAUACGACUUGUAGUAACAACCAAGAUCGUAACGACUGCAUUUGUGUACUUUUUAAGUCGCAUACAACUUACAUCUCACGAUAUUCUCACAUAUGACUGGAUAACAUGGAACCGUCGAGCGAAGAAGAAACGCUGACGUUAAUGUCAGUCUUACAUUUCGCAGGAAGACUGGAUUCUUCGGCGGAACACGGCUGGAGCUUAUCAUUGCCUUUUUCGAGAACUUUAUCAGGAAGAUUCAUGGUCACUGAAGAAUUUUCUCCGUAUGGAUAAGUCAAAUUUUGACAUUUUGUUUUAGUCGUGUCUCGUACCUGUCACUCUGAGGUGGACACAGAUUCUCCGCGAUUUGAUUGGUCCGACUUGUAGUAGGAAUUAGGACAAAUCCAUGUAUUACAACUCGGCUGCGACUAGUUUGCGACUUCAAAUCGUUACGAUUUGGGUGUUCUCAUGUUGCAACUGUGUUGCAUGCUUCAAGUUGUUGCUGCAAGCUGCACCCUGAGAACGCACCUUAAUGAGAAAUGUUUGGGGUUUUUAAUGCCAUGAUCGAAAUUGUCCGGUUAGAUGAAGGCAAUCAAAAAUAGUCAAGGCUGGCAGACAAUCCAAUGACUGAUUUCAUGAGCAUCGAUCAACUCAACUGGGAUACCAUGACACACAUCAACCAUAUCAUCUAGCCAGACCACCCAAUCCUGUCACUCACUUCUCAUGGGUUGCGGAAUACCAGUUUUAACUUGGAUCUUCAGGAGUCUACCAGAAAAGAAUUGGAUGCAAAAUGGAUUGGGUGAACAAUGCAUCCUGAAUUUUGGCUUGGAUGGCAGUGACGUGGAUUCUUUUCCCAACAUCGACAAAAUCUUAUUGUGUUCUCACCCUCAUGGAAGGCAAUCUGACGAGAAACAAUCAAACUAAUUCAAACAAAAUGUUGCCUGGUAACGGAAUGGAAUGAGUCACGGCCUUACUUGAAUCCAUUUCUUUUCCAGAUUACUUGCAAAUAAUAGUGACAGUGUGUUCCCUUCAAAGAACCAAGCCCCUGACGAUUGACAAAAUGAUUUGCCAAGUUCUUUAUCUGUCAUCAUCAUUGUUGUGUUUCUGGACUUGUCAUGGCUACUGACAAACCCCGUGUCAUAUUUCAUACUAUUGUCUAUUAAACUGUUAAAAGUCACUGUCAUUUUAGUACAGCAUAUUGUGUGAGGUCCUUCUCCUUUGUUCGUUGUGGUCCUGUCUGUGUUAAAGGGGCGGUGGGGUAGCCUAGUGGUUAAAGCGUUGGCUCGUCACACCGAAGACCCGGGUUCGAUUCUCCACAUGGGUACUAUGUGUGAAGCCCAUUUCUGGUGUCCGCGGCCGUGAUAUUGCAGUAAUAUUGCUAAAAGCAGCGUAAAACCAUACUCUCUCACUGUGUGUUAAAUCUGUUCUGUACAAGUCCCUACGUGUUUACAUUUGUAUGCGUCUCAUAGUGUUUAUACAUCGACAUCUCAUCAUUGGUGCUUUAGCGCAUAUUUUACACAGCAAAUAAAUAUACCCAACUGUU